GUUUACGGCCAUACAACUUGAACAAGCCCGAUCCUUGUCUGGUCUCAGAAGCUAAGCAGGGUCGGGACCUGGUUAAUACUUGGAUGGGAGACCAACUAGGAAGACCAGGGUGCUGUAGGCA
rnacentral:rRNA from 1 species